CGCAUGCGGCCGGCCGGCUACGCAGCUGCCUGCCUGGCGCCGCCUCAUCUCGUCAUCCCCCUCCUCUUCUCCUUUGCGAGACAAGGGGCAGCGCUUCGUGCUGCGGCGGGGCGGCUCCUCGCAUGCGGCUGCAGGGCAACAUCGCGCGGCAGCGGCGAGAUGCAGCACGACGCUUUGUGCUGCGGCAGGCCACCGGUGCGCAGCGGGACAGCGCCUCGCGUGCGGCCGCAGGGCGGUAUCGCGUGUAGGCGGCGAGAUGCGGGCGCGCCUGUGCGCCGGGGCCGCAGCUGCCUCCGGAGUUGAGGGCGCAGCUGGCGCUAUCUGGCCGCCGGCCCUCUGCUCGGGCGUUGAAGCCGCCUCCGCAGUCCUGGGUUUCGCGUGCGGUCCGCCAGCCGUUACCCGCCGCCGACUUGCGUGCUGCUGCUACCAGCAACGCUAGCUCACCACUGCCUGAGAGAAAGGGGAUUGGGUUGCAGCAGCGUUUCUGCUUCGUUUUUUUUUGUUAAACAGAUCUGUUAGACAGAGGACUCUCUCUGUUUCGCUUUCUCUAGCUGGAUUUGUUUAUUACUUUUCCAAUGCCUGUACUCCACCUCUGUUUGUUUGGUUCGUGAUCAAUUUUCCUCUCACUGCUGCUGAUUUCGUUGUGUGUUUUGCUUAGUUCGGGCAUUGAUAUUUUGUUGUGGUUUCUUUGUAUUUCAUUUUUUUAUACUACUGUUUUCUGCAGGUUUCUAGAUAAGGAGGCUCGAAGUGCAAUCGAGUUCAGUUACUUGAGGCAGAGUUUGAGGAGAUUUCUUCAGACAGGACAGUGGAAGUGCAAUCAAGUUCAAUUGCUUACAGGACAGUUUGAGAGAGAUGGAUGCAGAACCAAGAAAAAAGAUGGCAGCUUUUGUGGUUGUGAACCUGGCAAACGAAGGCGGCCUCAACAAACAGUGGCAAUAUAACAAAAGGUGUAUCGAUUUAUACCGUUACGUUAUUGAUAAAAUAACAAUAACAACAAUGCUAUUGAGCAGCCAUUUCAUAUGAAUGUAUAUGCAUUAUUUGAUCAAUCGAAAAAUUCUGUUCAGUAGACAUUAUCUAAGAAA